rnacentral:rRNA from 1 species
CCUACGGGAGGCAGCAGUGGGGAAUUUUGGACAAUGGGCGCAAGCCUGAUCCAGCCAUUCCGCGUGAGUGAAGAAGGCCUUCGGGUUGUAAAGCUCUUUCGCAAGGGAAGAAACGUUACGGGCGAAUAACCCGUGAUAAUGACGGUACCUUGAUAAGAAGCACCGGCUAACUACGUGCCAGCAGCCGCGGUAAUACGUAGGGUGCAAGCGUUAAUCGGAAUUACUGGGCGUAAAGCGUGCGCAGGCGGUUUUGUAAGUCAGAUGUGAAAUCCCCGAGCUCAACUUGGGAACUGCGUUUGAAACUACAAGGCUAGAAUAUGUCAGAGGGGGGUAGAAUUCCACGUGUAGCAGUGAAAUGCGUAGAGAUGUGGAGGAAUACCAAUGGCGAAGGCAGCCCCCUGGGAUAAUAUUGACGCUCAUGCACGAAAGCGUGGGGAGCAAACAGGAUUAGAUACCCUGGUAGUCCACGCCCUAAACGAUGUCUACUAGUUGUUGGUGGAGUAAAAUCCAUGAGUAACGCAGCUAACGCGUGAAGUAGACCGCCUGGGGAGUACGGUCGCAAGAUUAAAACUUCAAAUUGAAUUGAGG